rnacentral:lncRNA from 1 species
GUCCAUCCGUCUGUCCCUGUGUCCGUCUGUCCCCAGUGUCCCCACCUCUGUCCCACUGUGUGUCCCCAUAUGUGUCCCCAUAGCCGUCCCUAUGUGUGCUUCCAGUGUCCCUUGUCUGUCCCCAUAUCCAUCCCCAUGUCCAUCCCUGUGUCCAUCUGUCCCCAUACCUGUCCCCUUUAGUGCCUCAGGGUCCUCCCACGGGGUCCUCCAGUGCCAUGGGGGUCCUCCUAUGGUGUCC